GACUCCAGGGGAAUAAGGGCAUUGCCUCCUUUUGUGGAAGGACACGCCCUUCUGAUGGAGAAUGGGAACUCCCUCCUGCAGCAGCCUGCCUGCAGCGGUCUGGGUAGGACAGCGUGGAUGCUGUAGGCUGAUGCAGCUGCCGUCGCCCCAGAAAGACAGUGCCCCACAGCC
rnacentral:other from 1 species